rnacentral:tRNA from 1 species
GGAUAUAUAGCUCAGGCGGUUAGAGUAUCACGUUGACGUCGUGAAAGUCACUGGUUCAAGUCCAGUUAUAUCCA